GAGAAACUCAUGUCUGAAGAAAGAAAAAAAAGGCUGGCCUCUAAACUUAAGGGACGUUUUUUUUUUUUUUUUUUUGUGUCGUAUCCUGCAUUGGAAAUGUCACAUAAGGUUACUGAAGAUCCACCCUUAUCCUGCCUGGCGGGUUGAAGUGAAGUGCAGCCCUGUUUUAGUGCGCUUCAAGUACUCCAUUUUUUUCUCUCCCUUGUCCCCCCCUAAUUGUCCUCAUUGAGCCGUGUGGACCAGUUGCACAGCCUGUCUGGCUGGGGUCAGCGAGUUUACCGUGUGCUUUUUAUCUAUAUUUCAUGCUAUGGCGCUGCGCGCUGACAGCCACACAUCCACCAUGAGAAAAUUCAGAGACGCACAAGGAAUGCCGAAAGGGCAAAAUGAAGAUCAUUCAAGCAUCAAGUCACAUUUUCUAUAGCAAUAAAAUACAAUAAAGCGUCGUUUAAUUUUCCUUUGAAUGUAAACAAAAAUGACAGAAAGCACACGGCGCAAAAGUGACCUAUGCAGUCAUAAAUUGGAAACUGAAGUGGAGUACAAAUAGACGAUAAAUAUAACUACUACUUUCCGGAUUGGUAGCAAUUAAAUAAGCGAUUAUAAGAGUGAAAAAAAAAUAAAACGUCGCCUACUUACGAUUCAUUUCAAUAACUUCUGGGCGUUAUUGUCUCGCCCCUGCGCCUCUCCGGUCGUUUGGAGACGGAAAAAAGUCUGUUCCUCCGGCGAAGCAGGGCCAUUCUCAUCGAGGGGAUUGUCAGGCUUCAUCUGAUGGCGAUAAAGUUUGCAUAAGAUAACACCUGGUUAAUUCUGCCGAGGACAGUGGACGUCCGAUUCCGCCGAUGUCAGGUCUUCAGUGAUGCCUGCACUCGCCGGGAUUGAGCGCUGUGAGGAGAGGGAGCGCACAGAAAGGCGUCAUGUGAGCCGGGGAGAGGUGCGCCAUUGGCCAGCCGGGGAUAAGUAUGAUAAGGCUGCUCUGUGCGCCAUUGGCCCACGACGGGAGCGGAGGCGCCUCCUCACUUGGCUGUGCGCAAGAAUGUGGGGAGGGGGCAUAGACAGAAGAGAAAAAUAUCCAGAGAUCCAGGUCAGCUGUGAGGCCUCAGCUGGAGUGGAGGGCUACACCUGUCGGCGCCCGGGGGCCUCUCUCUCUCGCGCGCGCUCUCCGUCGUCUUUCUGUCUCUCUCUUUCUGUCCAGCUGGACGUGCAGGAGCCUUUCAACCCCCCACCCAGCCUCCACCUCCCGGAUCCAGGCCAGUUCAGCCCAGCCAUGCGUGGCCAUCUCUGGGAAUUCAUUCCGGAUGCUUCCUGUUCAUUGCAUCCACUUCUCUCGCUCUCUCUUCUCUCUUUAUCUGUCACUCCACCCCCACAACCCUGCAUCUACAUGUCUUUCUCUUUAGUAUCUGUCCCAUAA
rnacentral:lncRNA from 1 species